rnacentral:rRNA from 1 species
AUUGAACACUGGCGGCAGGCCUAACACAUGCAAGUCGAACGGUAACAGGAAGCAGCUUGCUGAUUUGCUGACGAGUGGCGGACGGGUGAGUAAUGUCUGGGAAACUGCCCGAUGGAGGGGGAUAACUACUGGAAACGGUAGCUAAUACCGCAUAACGUCGCAAGACCAAAGAGGGGGACCUUAGGGCCUCUUGCCAUCGGAUGUGCCCAGAUGGGAUUAGCUAGUAGGUGGGGUAACGGCUCACCUAGGCGACGAUCCCUAGCUGGUCUGAGAGGAUGACCAGCCACACUGGAACUGAGACACGGUCCAGACUCCUACGGGAGGCAGCAGUGGGGAAUAUUGCACAAUGGGCGCAAGCCUGAUGCAGCCAUGCCGCGUGUAUGAAGAAGGCCUUCGGGUUGUAAAGUACUUUCAGCGGGGAGGAAGGGAGUAAAGUUAAUACCUUUGCUCAUUGACGUUACCCGCAGAAGAAGCACCGGCUAACUCCGUG